UGGGUUUAAAGGGAGCGUAGGCCGGAGAUUAAGCGUGUUGUGAAAUGUAGAACGCUCACGUCUGCACUGCAGCGCGAACUGGUUUCCUUGAGUAACGGCACAAAAGUGGGCGGAAUUCGUGGUGUAGCGGUGAAAUGCUUAGAUAUCACGAAGAACUCCGAUUGCGAAGGCAGCUCACUGGAGCGCAACUGACGCUGAAGCUCGAAAGUGCGGGUAUCGA
rnacentral:rRNA from 1 species